rnacentral:rRNA from 1 species
CAGCCGCCGCGGUAAUACGAAGGGUGCAAGCGUUAAUCGGAAUUACUGGGCGUAAAGCGCACGCAGGCGGUUUGUUAAGUCAGAUGUGAAAUCCCCGAGCUUAACUUGGGAACUGCAUUUGAAACUGGCAAGCUAGAGUCUUGUAGAGGGGGGUAGAAUUCCAGGUGUAGCGGUGAAAUGCGUAGAGAUCUGGAGGAAUACCGGUGGCGAAGGCGGUCCCCUGGACAAAGACUGACGCUCGGGUGCGAAAGCGUGGGGAGCAAACAGGAUUAGAUACCCGCGUAGUCCCUGUCUCUAUACC